ACAAGCUCUUCUAAGGGAGGAGAAUUAUUUUGUGUGGGUGCGUUCACAACAAGCCUUCAAGAGGUUGAGCAGAAAAGAGGAAAUAUGCUGAACAUUUUAGGAGGUGGCAAAGCCCUGACUCUCAGAUCUAAGAAGAAGCUGCUGGCAGUAGGAGUCUCCAGACUUCCGCCAGCAUCUAUGAAAGUGUGGCAGGCCUACUUAAUAGCUGACAGAGAGAUGGAGCACAAGUGGGGAGGGUCAGAGAGAGAGGAAGACACAGAAUCUGAAGCAGGCUGCAGGCUCUGAGCUGUAAGCACAGAGACCAACAUGGGGUCCGAACUCACAAACCAUAAGAUCAUGACCUGAGCCGAAGUUGGACGCCUAACCAACUGAGCCACCCAGGCGCCCCAAGAAUUAAUGAAUUUUAAUUUUAAUACAAUAAAUAGUGAUACAUUUAAUCCACAUAAGCAAAAACUGCUCAUAUUCCUCAACCUUGUAAAGUGUGUGGGGUAGGUGUUUUUGUUGUUGUUGUUGUUUUGUGUUUUUUUUUUUUAAUGCUUAAAGUAUUUAUUUUUAAAAUAUGUGAAGGAGGUCCUUAGAGAAAACAC